UCUGACGGAGCACGCCGCGUGAGUGAUGAAGGUUUUCGGAUCGUAAAACUCUGUUGUCAGGGAAGAACAAGUGCCGGAGUAACUGCCGGCGCCUUGACGGUACCUGACCAGAAAGCCACGGCUAACUACGUGCCAGCAGCCGCGGUAAUACGUAGGUGGCAAGCGUUGUCCGGAAUUAUUGGGCGUAAAGCGCGCGCAGGCGGUUUCUUAAGUCUGAUGUGAAAGCCCCCGGCUCAACCGGGGAGGGUCAUUGGAAACUGGGAAACUUGAGUGCAGAAGAGGAGAGUGGAAUUCCACGUGUAGCGGUGAAAUGCGUAGAGAUGUGGAGGAACACCAGUGGCGAAGGCGACUCUCUGGUCUGUAACUGACGCUGAGGCGCGAAAGCGUGGGGAGCGAACAGGAUUAGAUACCCUGGUAGUCCACGCCGUAAACGAUGAGUGCUAAGUGUUAGAGGGUUUCCGCCCUUUAGUGCUGCAGCUAACGCAUUAAGCACUCCGCCUGGGGAGUACGGUCGCAAGACUGAAACUC
rnacentral:rRNA from 1 species